CAUGUAUCGGAUCUCUUGACACAGUACCCUUGAAUAAUAAGAUAGUCCCUUGCUCUUACUGGAAGCACAAAGCUCCUUAUGAUGAGACGUCGGCUCUCAGCAACAGCGAUAAACUGUAUGGAGGACCACCUCGACUUGGCCCUAUGCACUUCUCUUCAAUAGGAGCAUGAAUCAAGGUCAUCUUCUCCAGAUUGCUCAUCACUUCAAACAGCUUCAGUAAUGGAGUCUCAGAUGUGGAUCUCAACAAAUCAGCGCUGUCAAUUUCUGCCUCUCAUCCUCAUCCAAGAGAAACAGGCCUGUCAGCGUUCCUCCGGGUCGUCUUAGGUAAUCAAAGCCUUCCUGUAUUGCCUUCAGCAAUGACUUUUUCUUUCCCCCUUUACAAAAGAAUUUACACUUCUUAAGUAGAGAUCAUUUGAUUGCUUUUUCACUUUUAUUUUUUUGCAACAUUUUACCAUUGUUGGGAGUUUAAAGACAUUAACCUAAAAGGGAAGGAGAAAACGGCAAUGAUGUCUACGUCUCACAGAGGCUUUAUGCAACAAAACUGGCUUCUAGAAUAGAGUGAUGUGUAGGUGGGACUUCUUGACUUUCAGAUAAUCAUUGUAAAAGGCUAACUGAUCUUGUUUUUAAGUUUUGAGCUCCUAAACAGCUCUACAGUAUUUGUGCCUUUUGAAGUCUGGUUACAGCAGGAAAUUAGGGCACAUUCACUUGCCCAGACGCAGUGUGCAAACUGCAGUUUUUUCUCCACACAAUGCACAUUUUUUUCCAGAGAAUUCUGGUGGUACGGAUACAAACUGCCGAUUCUCUUAACACAAUGGCACUGUGCCUACUGCAGUUGUGUUGGCUUUGCCAAAAUGGAGGCAACUGGACAUUAGGGCAAAGUACACUGAAUAUCUUCUGUCAUUUCCAGUAUUUGCUGAUGUAAUUUCCGGUGUUUGCCGAUGUGAUUUCCAGUCUCCGGUGUGGGAAUGACGUCUGUGCCCGAUAUGUUAGGUGACACAGGAUGCUGAGAGAACCCUGAAGCUACCAUCUUGUCAGGAAGUGGAGGUGACUCCAGGGUUCCACUUCGUUAACAGGUGCAGCAGAGCCCAAUUCAAACACAAGGCAGAAAGGACUGAGUACUGAGAGCAACUAUAAAGAAAUGCGAAGAGCACGUUUUGACGCAAGUACAGUUUAGGGAAAAGUGCAAGUUGCCCAUGGACAUAAAUUAGCCACUUGGAGAAUUAAAAAUUAGGGAAGGAAUAUGUCCUUUUAAGAUCCUCCAGACUGAUUCAGCAGCUUACUGCUCCAUAUAUAGGCCUGCCUGACUUAUAUCUGGCCUCCGUGUGUGAUCCUAUUGGUGGCCACAGCCCUUUUUGGCCUUACACUUGGGUAACCAUCCACCUCUUUGGCAUCCUCAACAAAGGGAUCGGGUCAUGUAUGGCCAGCUGCAUUCUAAACUCUCCAUAGCAGUUAUGCGUCACCCAAAUAUUGCUGCAAUACAACAUCCAGCCUACUCCCACAAUGAAGUCUUAAAGCAUUGUGGGAGCUGUGUUUUAGCAGACUAGAUUGUUUAACACUGCUUAGAGCAACUUUUCCCUAUAGCUCUCCACUUCCAGCAGUCAAUUUAAUGCAAGAAGAUCCUUCAGGGCCUACAUCACAGGGGGACAAGAAGGAACUGUUGUUAGGAGCCCAGGGAAAUGAUAGCCCACAGAGUACAGCAAUUUUUUGUGUAAUAUAACAUCUGGGUACCCACCCAAUGUUGCAUGGACGAUGGCUGUAGGAGGGGUCUGUUAUACAACACUGCAGCAGGGGGCCUUGAUCAGGCUGGUUAAUGGGCAGAUAGCACUGCAUAACAACAGUAACAAUGCUGCAAGUCAUGUACUAUUGACAGCAAUUUGGCAAGAGCAUGUUUCGUAUGUUUUGCCUAAACCUAUUGGCUGGAGGCUCAGCAGGCCCCUAUUUUGAUGUCCCAUAAUUAGGAAACGGAAUGGGAGGCUGCUUGCAACUGGUGUGGAGGUGGCGGGUAGACUGCUUCUCAUUGGAGAACACUCUUGCAUCUCAAAUUAGGUUUUGGUGGCCUUGAAUAGUUAGGGGGCAAAAAUGAGUUAGAUUUUGGGAAGCUUUAUAUCCACAUUAAAGGCAUUCUGCAUGGGCUGGUGCUUUUAGAUCUCCUGUUUUGUUGACUUUUUAUGAAAAUAAUAAAAAAAAAGUAAAUAAAAAUCUGCAACUUUAGGGUUUGCAACUAAGAAUGAUUUUUGGCUCGGCCGUUUGCUCAGCUUAACAAAACAAAUGUUUACUCGUUUCCAGCUCGCUAAGAGUAUAAUGUGCUUAAUGAAAGAAAAAUCUACUGACAGUCGCGUUUAUUGCCCUUCAUUAGCGUCGUUGCUUAAUUUAAUAUAGAUUGGAACAGACGCACGACUUAGCCUGCAGGAGGUUAAAUGGUGAAAAUAAAAUAAAUCCAAUCAGAGAUUAUUGAAUUUGCCGCGGCGUUCCUGUGACACCUAACAGACAAAACUCAUUAUUCGCAUAACACCAGAGACGUAAGCGCAUUUUUUUCUAUAGCAAGAUAAUUAAUAGAUGAUUUGUACAUUUAUAAAAUCUACAUGAAUUGCCCAUGGCAUUAAUAUCAGUCUGAUUCAGCAAUGGGCCCUCUGAAAAUUACAUGGGAAAUGUUCUUCUUUUAAGUGAAGUGGCGUACCUUCCAUUUAUUCUCCAUUAUGGAAGGUGAGUGAUCACGUCAUAGUUGACUACAGAGCUUUCCAAGUCCUUGGACCUCAUUUACAAACAGGGCAGAGCUUGUUUUUCAGAAUUCAAGUCAGAGCUGGCGCCAAAAAGCAGUGCUAGUUGCAACGGUGUCCUGACAGUCUGCCUGUUUACCAUUAGCCUGCUAAUGCCAGCUGACACUUACUCAUUCCCUUCCGCUUGUAGCUCACUACAAA